rnacentral:lncRNA from 10 species
CUGUCUUCUUUUUAAAAGGGCUACUUCCAUCUCUUUCAUUUUAUUGUUUCCACGUCUUUGAUUGUUUUGGAACAAGUCCGAUGGUGGAGACGGAACAGGGAGAUCACGAAGACAGCCUCUCCUUUAAAAAAUGACCAUGAUCUCACGCCUCCUCCCAACCCAGUGGAAACUGGAGCACCGCUCAAGGAGACGCUGCUGUCACAGGAUCCUGCUUACGGGCACGAAAGCUGGGAAAUUUCAGAGCCAAUCUGGGCCAGGGGAGGCUGGAGCUCGUGAGCUGGGCUGGAAAUGAUUCUUCCAGACUGCAGAGAAGACAGUGGCCUGCCCGCCGGCCGGCCUGCCUGCCCUCCCCGAGGCCAACAGGAAAUCCCAGAAUUUAUAGAUGACCCCGUUACAAGAUGAAGAAACUGAGGCCAAGAAGGAGCUCAAGAUGAACUGGUAACAAAAGCAGGAUGCCGAGCUCCAGUUCCCCUCUUAGGCCGGGAA